rnacentral:lncRNA from 1 species
AACCGUAUGUGCCGUCCACUUCACUACUUCCGUGACCAGCGCUGGGUCGGCGCUUUUACGCCGCGGGGUAGUGUCACAAGGUAGCAGUGGGUCAGUGGCGCAAGGUAGUAGUGGGACCCACUCUGGAAAAGGGACAACGACGAAGCGCGGAAGGGACAGGCUCCGGUCCGCCAUUGUCUCAGCCACUAUUUCUGCUUGUAUAUAUCUGCAAAUUUACGUUUUCUUGUAACAAUAUUAUCCAAAAGGUUCUAGUUA